UACGGAGGGAGCUAGCGUUGUUCGGAAUUACUGGGCGUAAAGGGCGCGUAGGCGGCUUAUCAAGUCAGGCGUGAAAUUCCCGGGCUCAACCUGGGGGCUGCGCUUGAUACUGAUUGGCUUGAAUGCGGGAGAGGAUAGUGGAAUUCCCAGUGUAGAGGUGAAAUUCGUAGAUAUUGGGAAGAACACCGGUGGCGAAGGCGGCUAUCUGGCCCGUAAUUGACGCUGAGGCGCGAAAGCGUGGGGAGCAAACAGG
rnacentral:rRNA from 1 species